rnacentral:lncRNA from 1 species
AGAAAUGAGGGCUCCAAAAUGGUAUGUUGGUUCGGUGGCCAACGUGGCCGGAGGUUGGAGUUAUGGUGGUCCAUAGUUAGCGGCUUCGGGUAGUCGAAAGUACCAAGGACAAAUUUUAGUUAGUUCAUGGGAUAGAAUCAAGUUUGAUUGGUUUUAGGGCCAAUCCAAAACCGAACUGAUCAAUUUAGUUUAAUUUAUUAUCCAACCGAAUCAACCCAAAACUGGGAAUAAAACCAAACUAUCUUCCGUCAGGUCAGUUCAGUUUAUUUGGUUUGGAGCUCUAGAAAUUGUUGUUUAGAAGCUUAGAGAGGUUAAUUGUGUAAUGAUUGAGUCGAACCUCAACUAAAACCAGCCAAAAUCACCACAAUGAAAUCACAAGAUGAAGAUAAUUAGCUGGGAUAUAACAACCCAAGCUUCAACUGUAUUGAUUGAACCAAAGUGAUCACAAUAAAGGAAAGAAUGAGAGAGAUAACAAAGAAUUGGGGAAGAAGAAAGAGGUCUAAAAUGCUAACAAUUUUCCACAAGUUCCCCUUCUUCCUCCAUUUAGUUAAGAGAAGAAACGUAUUUGUUGCUAGAACAUGUUCACAUGAUUACAAUUUAGACUUUAAAACAACGUCAUAUAGGAAUUUGAUUGGAAAAUUUGUUAAACCCGUUGGCUCUUGUUAUUCUUCUUUUCCCAUUUGAGCUCUACCUUUGCUAUCAUUUGUUGCUGAUUGUUACAUUCCUCCCCUUCAAUUGACCUUAUCCCCAACGCUUGAAAUUGAGGAUACUACUUUUGAAUGGUUGCAGACUCUUCCCAUCUAGCUUCGUCUAUGUUAGAAUUCUCCCAAUGGAUUAACCACUGAGUCAUAGCCUGGUUAUUUCGUUUGAUAAUACAGGUUUGUGAGACUAGUUUGCCACCUUCUGGCAUCAAUAGAAUAGGUACAUCUUUCUUCUGCAGUUUCUUCUUAAGUAAUGAAACAUGGAAAAUGGGGUAAAAUUUAGAAGUGGUAAUUACAGUUUAUAAACCACCUAUCCAAUCCUUCUGAUGAUUUGGUAAGGCCUAUAGUACCUGGCAGCUAAUUUCGAGUUGAUUCUCAUGACCACAGAUUACUGUCUGCAGGGUUGAAAUUUCAGAUAAAACGAUUUUCCUCUUGAAAUUCCUUCUCCAUCAUGUGUGAUCAGCAUAAAACUUCAUUGAUACUCUAGCUUGACCCAAAUACCCUUUUAACAAAAGGUCCAUCUGAUGUCUUUCUUGAACUAACUCCUCUACAGCUACCACAUUAGUUUGUUGAUAAGGUCCCAAUGCUAGCUGUGGUGGUUUAAUGUCAUAUAAGGCUUCAAAGGGAUGCAUCUUAAUGGUAGUAUGGCAGGUGGUGUUGUACCACCAUUAGCUAGAGAUAGCCUAUUAAACCAUUGUAUAGGCUGAUGAAAGGUGAAACAACUUAGGUACAUCUAUAAGCAUUGGUUGAGCUUUUUUGUUUGCGGGCGGUAAACAGAGUUU